AGAGUUUGAUCCUGGCUCAGGACGAACGCUGGCGGCGUGCUUAAUACAUGCAAGUCGAGCGGACCGGGGCCUUCGGGCCACGGUCAGCGGCGGACGGGUGAGGAACACGUGAGUAACCAACCCACGAGUGGGGGAUAUCGGGCCGAAAGGCCCGGCAAUCUCGCAUACGCUGGCGCGCGUCAGGCGCGCCAGGAAAGGGCGCAAGCGCGCUCGUGGCUGGGCUCGCGGCCCAUUAGCUAGUUGGGGGGGUAACGGCCUCCCAAGGCGACGAUGGGUAGCCGGCCUGAGAGGGUGACCGGCCACACUGGGACUGAGACACGGCCCAGACUCCUACGGGAGGCAGCAGUAGGGAAUCUUCCACAAUGGGCGCAAGCCUGAUGGAGCAACGCCGCGUGAGUGAAGACGGCCUUCGGGUUGUAAAGCUCUGUCUGUCGGGACGAGGGCCCUGGGGUUCCAGGGCGGGACGGUACCGGCGGAGGAAGCCCCUGCAAACUACGUGCCAGCAGCCGCGGUAAGACGUAGGGGGGCAAGCGUUGUCCGGAAUUACUGGGCGUAAAGGGCGUGUAGGCGGUGGCGUACGUAGCGGUUUUUAAGCCGUCGGCUCACCCGACGGAGGGUCGCUAAACGGCGCGACUGGAGGGCAGGAGAGGUGCGUGGAAUUCCUGGUGGAGCGGUGAAAUGCGUAGAGAUCAGGAAGAACACCCGUGGCGAAGGCGACGCACUGGCCUGUCCCUGACGCUGAGGCGCGACAGCGUGGGGAGCAAACGGGAUUAGAUACCCCGGUAGUCCACGCCGUAAACGAUGGGUACUAGGUGUCGCCCGGGUCCACCGGGCGGUGCCGGAGCU
rnacentral:rRNA from 1 species